rnacentral:rRNA from 1 species
CACGUAGGGGGCAAGCGUUGUCCGGAUUCAUUGGGCGUAAAGAGCUCGUAGGCGGUUCGAUAAGUCGGGUGUGGAACCUCCAGGCUCAACCUGGAGACGCCACCCGAUACUGUCGUGACUAGAGUCCAGUAGGGGAGCGUGGAAUUCCUGGUGUAGCGGUGGAAUGCGCAGAUAUCAGGAGGAACACCGAUGGCGAAGGCAGGUCACUGGGCCGCAACUGACGCUGAGGAGCGAAAGCAUGGGGAGCGAACAGG